rnacentral:rRNA from 1 species
GACGAACGCUGGCGGCGUGCUUAACACAUGCAAGUCGAACGGAAAGGCCCUGCUUUUGUGGGGUGCUCGAGUGGCGAACGGAUGAGUAACACGUGAGUAACCUGCCCUUGACUUUGGGAUAACUUCAGGAAACUGGGGCUAAUACCGGAUAGGAGCUCCUGCUGCAUGGUGGGGGUUGGAAAGUUUCGGCGGUUGGGGAUGGACUCGCGGCUUAUCAGCUUGUUGGUGGGGUAGUGGCUUACCAAGGCUUUGACGGGUAGCCGGCCUGAGAGGGUGACCGGCCACAUUGGGACUGAGAUACGGCCCAGACUCCUACGGGAGGCAGCAGUGGGGAAUAUUGCACAAUGGGCGGAAGCCUGAUGCAGCAACGCCGCGUGCGGGAUGACGGCCUUCGGGUUGUUAACCGCUUUCGCCUGUGACGAAGCGUGAGUGACGGUAAUGGGUAAAGAAGCACCGGCUAACUACGUG